GCAAGCGAAUUAAGGGCGCAUGGGGGAUACCUAGGCUCUCAGAGGCGAUGAAGGACGUGAUAAGCUGCGAA
rnacentral:rRNA from 1 species